rnacentral:rRNA from 1 species
GACGAACGCUGGCGGCGUGCUUAACACAUGCAAGUCGAACGGUAAGGCCCUUCGGGGUACACGAGUGGCGAACGGGUGAGUAACACGUGGGUGAUCUGCCCUGCACUUCGGGAUAAGCCUGGGAAACUGGGUCUAAUACCGGAUAGGACCACUGCCUGCAUGGGUGGUGGUGGAAAGCUUUUGCGGUGUGGGAUGGGCCCGCGGCCUAUCAGCUUGUUGGUGGGGUGAUGGCCUACCAAGGCGACGACGGGUAGCCGGCAUGAGAGGGUGACCGGCCACACUGGGACUGAGAUACGGCCAAGACUCCUACGGGAGGCAGCAGUGGGGAAUAUUGCACAAUGGGCGCAAGCCUGAUGCAGCGACGCCGCGUGAGGGAUGACGGCCUUCGGGUUGUAAACCUCUUUCAGCACCGACGAAGCGCAAGUGACGGUAGGUGCAGAAGAAGGACCGGCCAACUACGUGCCAGCCGCCGCAGUAA